rnacentral:rRNA from 1 species
AGACAUAGGGGGCAAGCGUUGUCCGGAAUCACUGGGCGUAAAGGGAGCGUAGUCGGUUAAUUAAGUCACGUGUGAAAGCCUUGGGCUUAACCUGAGUGCUGCAUUUCAAACUGGAAGUCUAGAGUGCAGGAGAGGAGAAGGGAAUUCCUAGUGUAGCGGUGAAAUGCGUAGAGAUUAGGAAGAACACCAGUGGCGAAGGCGCUUCUCUGGACUGUAACUGACGCUGAGGCUCGAAAGCGUGGGGAGC